UAACACCAGUGGCGCACGGGUGAGUAAUGCAUGGGUCAUCUGCCUCGUAGAGGGGGAUAACUACGCGAAAGUGUAGCUAAUACCGCAUACGCAGGAGACUGCAAAGGAGGGGACCGCAAGGCCUUCCGCUACGAGAUGAGCUCAUGUCCCAUUAGCUUGUUGGCGGGGUAACAGCCCACCAAGGCGAAGAUGGGUAGCUGGUCUGAGAGGACGAUCAGCCACACUGGAACUGAGACACGGCCCAGACUCC
rnacentral:rRNA from 1 species